UACGUAGGUGGCAAUCGUUGUCCGGAAUUAUUGGGCGUAAAGGGUUCGUAGGCGGUUUUUUAAGUCUGAUGUGAAAGCCCACGGCUUAACCGUGGAAGGUCAUUGGAAACUGGAAGACUUGAGUACAGGAGAGGAAAGUGGAAUUCCUAGUGUAGCGGUGAAAUGCGUAGAUAUUAGGAGGAACACCAGUGGCGAAGGCGGCUUUCUGGCCUGUAACUGACGCUGAUGAACGAAAGCGUGGGGAGGAAACAGG
rnacentral:rRNA from 1 species